UGGGGAAUAUUGGACAAUGGGCGAAAGCCUGAUCCAGCCAUGCCGCGUGAGUGAUGAAGGCCUUAGGGUUGUAAAGCUCUUUUAGCAGGGAAGAUAAUGACGGUACCUGCAGAAAAAGCCCCGGCUAACUUCGUGCCAGCAGCCGCGGUAAUACGAAGGGGGCUAGCGUUGCUCGGAAUUACUGGGCGUAAAGCGCACGUAGGCGGACUCUUAAGUCGGUGGUGAAAUCCUGGAGCUCAACUCCAGAACUGCCUUCGAUACUGGGAGUCUUGAGUUCGGGAGAGGUGAGUGGAACUGCGAGUGUAGAGGUGAAAUUCGUAGAUAUUCGCAAGAACACCAGUGUCGAAGGCGGCUCACUGGCCCGAUACUGACGCUGAGGUGCGAAAGCGUGGGGAGCAAACA
rnacentral:rRNA from 1 species